GUUAAAAUUGCAAAUUUGUGUGUUUUACUGCUGUGGCUUUGCAACCACCGCGAUAAGCUUAAUCCUAAUUCUUGAAGAUCAUUCUAUAUGCAAAGUGUCUGUAGUAUAAUAGGUGAAUUCAACGUACAUAUUGUGAUAUUUAAUUGGUAGUUUUACCAUUACAAAAGCUGCAGGCGUGUGAACAGUGAAAGCUGUGGAUUGGCUAAUACGACAGGUAUAAAUGAACGACUGAGCGCAGCGUGAACCAUUGCUGUAUUGGCAAACGUUAACACCACAGUUUUCAGUAUUAAUUAAGUUGGGAGUUAUAUCGAUAUAUAUUGUAUAUAGGUCAUGAUGAAGUCUCUGUUGGUCAUUUUUGCUUUAGCUGUUUUCAGCUUUAUAAAUGUGACGAAUGGUCAGUGUAAACCAGAAAAGGGCGAAGCAUGUAAAAAUGGUUUCUCUAAUGCGAACGCAACUACCGACCCCGACAAAUGCACAGCUGCAUAUACCUAUGGUAAAUGUUUAAUUGAUGAAAUGUGUUAUAACGAUGACACCCAGAAAACUGAUUUCAAUAAAACAGUAACCUCUGGUCUCAUGUGUGGCAGUGGUGAAGCAAAAUGUACAGUAACAACCGGACUAGCAUGUUUUACCAAUUUGUGCAGUAAUAAGACUAAAUUAAAAAACUGUUUGGAUGAUGCCAAAUGCAACGUCGAAAGUUUCAAGACAGCGUAUGAUGGCUAUGAUUCCACAUGUAGUAAUGGAUGUGGUACAGUGGCUGUUAGUGUAUUGAUGAUGUUCCUCUCAACUCUACUCAUGUUUAUCAAAAACUAAUAAUUAUUUUAUAACUCUUUACAUUCUAUUGUUUUAUCAUUGACCAUCAAAUUAAAAACAAUAAAUGUUGAAAUUUGUUGGAUAUGAAAUGAUGAAAUCUAAUAUUAGUAUUUUCUUUUUGUAAAAACUAAUUUACGACGACACUGUUAUUUUUUGUUACAUAUGACUAAGAUACUGUCACUUUUGAUAAAAUAUAGAAAUUAUUUAUUUGCAAAGAUAAUAUUACACUUUUGAUAAAAUAUAGAUAACGUUUGUUUGACAAAUUUCGAUGUAAAGCGUUAGAUUAUUUCAUCAUUGACCAUUGUAUAAAACAAACAAAUUGUUGAAACCUUUGGAUAUGAGAUGAUGAGUAUAUACAGAAUAUUUCAAAGUAUUAUCUAAUAUUAAUAUUAAAUACAUGUAUAUUAGUUUUUAGUCAUUGACCAUUAUAUUAAACAUCUUGAUGAAUAUUUUGGAUAUGAGAUGAUGAGGAAAAUUAAUAUGCUUCAAUAAUUGCACCAUAUACAAUUCAACCUAGAUUUUGAUAAUAAUCUUAUGUAUCUCUCGCUUUAAUAAAAAAAACUGUUUUGGUAAAA